AGUGGAAUUGCUGGAUCACAUGGCCAUUCCACAUUUCACUUUUGAGAAACUGCCAAAAUGUUUUCCAUAGUGGCUGUGCCAUUUUGCAUUCCUACCAGCAGU
rnacentral:pre_miRNA from 1 species